GAUGUGUAGAAACACAAUGAACAGGGGGCUGUCCAUUUAAGAUUCCAUUGCAUUGGGUUACACUGGUAGCAAUGAAUCAACUACUUUUAUUUUCUAUGUAUUUCCUAUGGAACUCAUCCUGAGCUAACAAUCCAGAGAAGCCAUCUUUUUCACUUUUCUGCAGAGGGCUCUACUUACUUUGGCUGGUGUGUUCGGGCUUCUAGACCAGCCUUGAUUCCUGGCAUGAAGGCAUGUUUGGCUUCUCUGGUCUCUGCCUUGUAUCCCUUCAGAAUUUCAAAAAAUGAACAUGAUUUUGAUGUACUGUGCCCUGUAUAUUUACCCUUUGGGAUAUUUCCUUCCCACUCUUUGGCCCAGAUUUUUGACUCUGUUUGUCCUAAACCACAGCCUCAAGUUUGGACCAUUGCAAAAUAUAAUAAGGUGACUGCAGUUUUCACUGCAGAGGAUAGUGAGUCCGUCAGUCAAGUAGAUUACUUGGGAGUUCAGUUUCUAUGGGAUGGAAGCAGGAAAAGACAGAGAAGAGCAGAGGCACUCAAUCACCUCCUUCAGGGAAAGGAGGAUUGUCAGUCUUCAUUUGGUAUCAGAGAUGCCUUUGAACUUCAGGAAAGCCGCCAUUUUGUUUUUGUUCACUUCUCUAAUGCUUUGUGUCUGCAACAUGAAACACAAGAUAUGUUGCCAUGGAGCUGCUGAUGAGUCACUGAGUCAUGGCUUGCUUUGCUCAAGUGACUGUGGUUUUUAUAACACUGAUACUCAAAUCAGACACCCGUGGAUUCUACUUUUAAAAACUUCAAGGCCCAUCCUAACUCAGAGUACCUCAUCACAAAUUGGAUUGCAGAGAACUCAAAUGAAGAGGACAAGCAAACUCAGGAAUGUGGAGCACCCAUCAUCUGCCAUGGUCAAGGAGAUAAUCUGUGGAGAGAGAGAGAAAACAGAUGGAGAGAGCUGCACACGCAGAGAUCCACGAGGCUCCUGAGAAUAAACAAGAAUCUCUUGGCUUCUCAAGAGCCUUCCAGACUUUCCUCCUUAUGUUUGGGAGUUUUCCUGACUGCCCUCCUUGACCUUGGUCAGCAAGGACACUUAUAAACUUGGCGGUGUGGGGGGUGUGUGUGUGUGUGUGUGUGUGUGUAGUGGGGAAGGUCAUGAGAUUUAAGCCAGUUUCUAUUAUUUUUUUUUUGUCUUUUGUCUUUUUAUGGCCACACCCAUGGCAUAUGGAGGUUCCCAGGCUAGGGGUCUAAUUGGAGCUGUAGCUGCUGGCCUACGCCACAGCCACAGCAACACGGGAUCUGAGCUGUGUCUGUGACCUACAGCACAGCUCACAGCAACACUGGAUGCUUAACCCACUGAGCAAGGCCAGGGAUUGAACCCGCAACUUCAUGGUUCCUAGUCGGAUUCAUUAACCAUUGAGCCACAAUGGGAACUCCUGAGUUUCUACUCUUCAUAUACAUAAAGUUCCUAAAGCAUAUUGGUAAUACUUUUCUAUUUUAAUUGAACUUUGGUAUUUACUCUAUCAUUUUCCAAUGGAUGUGGCAUCAACUUAACAUUCUCUAGCCUCUCCUUUCAUUAUUACCUGGCCCCUAAAUAACUUUUGCCCCCACUUCUUGUCCCUCUUCCUCCUUUUGGGGCUCCACCAUCUUUGCCUCUGCUCAGCUAUUUCUUCAACUUCAUCCUUAUUCCUAGAUGUUCUAGGCAAUCUCCUACUCAACUCAAAGCUCAACAAAAUAUCUCUUCCUCUGUAAUGUCUUUCUGAAUAAUUCAGGAAAGAUGAAUCAUUUUGCUGUUUAUAUUCACACAGUAUUUUAUUUGCCUUUAAUAUAUUAUGUUAUCAUUAGUGGUUAAAGUGUUUCCCUCAAGGGUAGAGACUGGGUAUCCCUCUCUAUUACUUAUCUUUUAUCACCAUCAUGUAGGACGGCACCAGGAGGGGAAUAAUAAGUGCUCAGAAAAAAAAAAUAUAUGUUUUGUAUGAAUGGACUCAGGAAAUAUCACAGCAAAUAUGUGUAUGUGAUGUUUUGUGAAUUCUAGAAAUAAAGUAUGUCAUCC
rnacentral:lncRNA from 1 species